rnacentral:tRNA from 1 species
AAAGGAUUAUUUUAAAUUUAGAAUUUUUGACUCUUAAUCAAAAGGUUUGUUUCUUUA